AUAAACAUUACAUUAAAUUUAGGUGUUAUUUUCCAUAAUACUUCACUAGACAGCAUAUUUAUAACAAAAUGUAUACAUAAUUAGGUUAAAAUUGUCUCAGCAUUUUUUCUGAGGUAAGCAAGUUAAUAUGGUGUGAAGCUGAUGAAAGGCAGGUGGAAGAUGCUUUGAAGACUGGGAUUAAAAUAAAAACAAACAUCACUGUUGGUUACAUAAUUGUCUGUAGUGUUAGGCACAUUUUCACAUUUGAUGAAUGUUUCAGCGGGCAAUAAACAGGAUGCUUCUAAAAGGAUUCACUGUACUGCCCCCAUUGACACGUAGAUCUCAUGCUUUGUCAAGCAUUUGUUGAUAAAUGCAAAGUAAAACAGGGCAACCUCUUCACUAAAAUGCAGUCAUUUUCCCAAGAAAACCACUUGGUAAUCUCACUGAAAUGAGUCUAUGAUAGUGACGUGCAUUUUGAUUUUUAAAAUUAAGACAUUUAAAAGGAGAUAUGUUAGUUAUAGAUGUAGAAAAGGGUGACUGCUAGUUGUACAUAUUAAUUGUAAAAUCUCAUUUUUAUAGAACCAACAUUUCAUGGAUUAAGGCUAUACAAAACAGAAGCACACAGUGCUAUGUCACAAAUGGACACCAGUUUGUCUGGCAGGUUCUAGGCCUUGUUUUAUUCCGUUUGAGCCUCGUCAUCUCCAUGGAACAGACACAGCAGGACACUUCCAGCAGGACAGGACACAUACACUGGUGACAGUUCAUGAACAAAAACACAAUAAACGUCCAGGAACCUGGGGUGCUGCAUUUCAUGCCUCCAAUGGCAGCAGCCCUUGGGCUGUUUGCUUGACAGCAUCGCUGAAGAGAAACACGUAAAGCUUUUCUAGUGAGAUAUGGCUGAUGGCAGCUGUUGUCAAAAGGUAUCAGCAAAAUUCAGUUGACAUCUAUCAUGGAAUUUGUGCAUUAAUCUUUAUUCAUACAAAAUGUUAAAAUGUCUGUAUAUUUAAUUGUGAUCACUAAUCUGGUCUGGUUAGUGUA